rnacentral:rRNA from 1 species
AUCAAAGGUGGCCUCUACAUGUAAGCUAUUGUUUGGGGAUGAGCCCGCGUACCAUUAGCUUGUUGGUAGGGUAAUGGCCUACCAAGGCUACGAUGGUUAGCUGGUCUGAGAGGAUGAUCAGCCACACUGGAACUGACACACGGUCCAGACUCCUACGGGAGGCAGCAGUGAGGAAUUUUGCGCAAUGGGGGAAACCCUGACGCAGCAACGCCGCGUGAGUGAUGAAGGCUUUCGGGUCGUAAAGCUCUGUCAAGUGGGAAGAACUCAUAUGGUGUUAAUAUCGCCAUAUGCUGACGGUACCAUUGAAGGAAGCACCGGCUAACUCCGUGCCAGCAGCCGCGGUAAUACGGGGGGUGCGAGCGUUAUUCGGAAUUACUGGGCGUAAAGAGCGCGUAGGCGGUCUUUUAAGUCAGGUGUGAAAGCCCGGGGCUCAACCCCGGAAGUGCACUUGAAACUAAGAGACUUGAGUAUGGGAGAGGGAAGUGGAAUUCCUGGUGUAGCGGUGAAAUGCGUAGAUAUCAGGAGGAACAUCAGUGGCGAAGGCGACUUCCUGGACCAAUACUGACGCUGAGGCGCGAAGGCGUGGGGAGCAAACAGGAUUAGAUACCCUGGUAGUCCACGCAGUAAACGGUGAACAC